rnacentral:piRNA from 1 species
UCUUUUCGCCUUAAUUGCCUUGAUGGUCUCU